UACGUAGGGUGCGAGCGUUGUCCGGAAUUAUUGGGCGUAAAGCGCACGUAGGCGGCUUUGCAAGUCGGAUGUGAAAUCCCUCGGCUUAACCAAGGAAGUGCAUCCGAAACUGCAGAGCUUGAGUACUUAAGAGGAUCGCGGAAUUCCCGGUGUAGCGGUGGAAUGCGCAGAUAUCAGGAGGAACACCAAUAGCGAAGGCAGCUCGCUGGGACGUUACUGACACUGAGGCGCGAAAGCGUGGGGAGCGAACAGG
rnacentral:rRNA from 1 species